rnacentral:rRNA from 1 species
CGGGUGAGUAACACGUAUGCAACCUGCCUGCCAACAGCCGGAUAAUCGGGAGAAAUUCCGUCUAAUACGGCAUAAUGCAUCGACGGGACAUCCUGUUGGUGCCAAAGGUUGAUUCCGGUGGCGGAUGGGCAUGCGUCGCAUUAGUUAGUUGGCGGUGUAACGGACCACCAAGACGACGAUGCGUAGGGGUUCUGAGAGGAAGGUCCCCCACACUGGUACUGAGACACGGACCAGACUCCUACGGAAGGCAGCAG